CUUUGCCAUCUGAAGCUUCCUACGCACCCAACAGACCACGAUGAAGAGUCGUGAAGUGGAAGUAAAUAUUCAAGUGUCAGGCGGACUUUGCUACGCUCAUACCAGAAAAAAUUAGAGGCAGAAAGGGCGGACCAUGUGUUCCAGACAACAUAACUAGAAAGAUGUGAGAAGGCACUUCAUGUGGGAGAUAAGCCUUGUUUUACUUAAUCCACUGAGAUGUCAGAGUUAAUUGUUACAGCAGCAGCCUGUUGUAUAGGCUGACUAACACAUGGUAACUAACAGAACACUUUGGAUUCUUGACAAAAUAAGAGCAAGAAAGCAGCAGCAGAAGCAGAAAUCAGAGGGGCGAGAAACCAAAAGCAACAGAGCAAGAUGACUGAGAGAAUGUGACAAAGAAGAUAAUGAAACAGGAUGGAUAUCCAUGCACAUCCAUCUUGAAGCAACUUUUCAAAGACAAUGGAAGCCCUAACAUCCCUUUGAUGAAACGAAGCUACACAGAAACACAGCAAGUAACAUAUGACUGGGUACAAAUGGUAAAAUUAAAGGCAAACAUUGUUGAUGAGCUCACUAGAGCUUGAAGUAUGGAAGCACAAUAUUAGCCUUGGAGGAAAAUAACUUCAUUGAAAUAUGUCCUUCCUGCCACACAGCUUUGCUAAGAUUCUGAAAGCAUUCUGUCUCUUUCAGCCUCUGGCUGUCUGUCACUAGGCAUUUUCAAUACAACGAACAGAGAAGAGAGU
rnacentral:lncRNA from 10 species